rnacentral:pre_miRNA from 10 species
UCGGGGCCGCUGCGGGCGGAAGGGCGCCUGUGCUUCGUCCGCUCGGCGGUGGCCCA